rnacentral:lncRNA from 1 species
GUGACACCAGUCAUACACGAGUUGGAAGCGUAGGGCUGUUGGAGUGCUGUAGUGGAGAGGUCGUCCCAUCGCUAGCUGUCAUUGAAAAAUAGGAGCUGGAGGCGUCAGGAACACUAACGAUGUUCAAGAGAUUCAACCGCUAUUGAGACAGGUCCAGUUCCAACCGCUUUGAAGGUAGAGUCGUACGUAGAGUGACACUCUUGUUAGCAAGCUGCCACUAGUUGCUGCGGAUUGCUGAGGAACAUGUGCCUCUUGAAUAGUUUUCUCUAGUAAACAACAUAUUCCAAGCGUAGGAACAAGCUGUUAGGAAUUCUGAACCUGGAGGUGUGUAUUGUGUGCGCAUGAAACUGUAAAGGGCCCGAUCUGGCUGAAAAUGCCCAUUGAUG